AUCAAUUCUGGGGGAUAAAUAGUUCCUCUUGGUAUAAUGGCUUGGGCGCUAUAUUUAUCAAUGUGGCUAUCCUGAUGAGUGGUUUUUUCAAUGCCAUUUGAUCCUGGAAACACCACACACAUUU